rnacentral:rRNA from 1 species
UUUGAAAUCUGGCCCCCUUGCGGGGGUCCGAGUUGUAAUUUGCAGAAGANGCUUCGGGCGUGGCGNCGGUCCAAGUUCCUUGGAACAGGGCGUCGGAGAGGGUGAGAAUCCCGUACGUGGCUGCGCGCCUACGCCCGUGUGAAGCUCUUUCGACGAGUCGAGUUGUUUGGGAAUGCAGCUCUNAACGGGUGGUAAAUUUCAUCUAAAGCUAAAUACCGGCCAGAGACCGAUAGCGCACANGUAGAGUGAUCGAAAGAUGAAAAGCACUUUGGAAAGAGAGUUAAACAGUACGUGAAAUUGUUGAAAGGGAAGCGCUUGCCACCAGACUCGCGCGCGGUCGAUCAUCCGGGGCUCGCCCCGGUGUACGCGGUCGCGCGCGGGCCAGCAUCGGUUUCGGCGGUCGGAUAAUGGCCCCGGGAAUGUGGCUCCCCUCGGGGAGUGUUAUAGCCCGGGGCGCCAUGCGACCCGCCGGGAUCGAGGAACGCGCUCCGGCUCGGAUGCUGGCGUAAUGGUUGCAAGCGACCCGUCUUGAAACACGGACCAAGGAGUCUAAUAUUUAUGCGAGUAUUUGGGCGUCAAACCCACAUGCGCNAUGAAAGUGAACGGAGGUGAGAACCCGCCAGGGCGCAUCAUCGACCGAUCCUGAUGUCUUCGGAUGGAUUUGAGUAAGAGCAUAACU